ensembl:lncRNA novel transcript
GGGAGGACAGGUUGGGUAGUAAGACCCAGCUUUACCAUCUAGAGCUAACUGUAAUGUAUUUAAAAUGAGGGAGGGGGUCUUUCAAGCUGGACCCACUGGCCAGUCACUGGAACUAUAACCUAAUGGUGUGAUUUCAAAUCAUCCCAGGCUAUCAACCUUUUUUCAUAGGAAGACUGCUUUGGUGUUCUUUCUGGAAAAAGAAGAGAACUGAUGAGAUAGAAGUUGCAGAUGACCAAGUUUACUGAAAAUGGGUGCUGUGAGUGAAAGAAAGAGGAAUGGAUUAAAUUUAAAAUGACACUACUUCAGCCAUCUCAGCAUCUGGGUUGGUGGACAAAACUAGAGGCUGUUCUGAUCAUGAUCAAGCCCAAGACAGAGCGAUGGGCGUGGCUUCCCCAAAGGUGUUUAUGAAUCCAAAAUCUGAGAGAGAGAAGACAAGAUGAAGUCACAGUCUAGUCAUUGCCUCAACACCAGUCAUUCCUACUCCCACCCAGACAACAUCAUCUCCACUCCCAAGCCCGAAAUGCUCCCUGCCAUGCCUUCGAGGCUGAGGUCUGGGAAGAAAACUCUAAGAAGAGAGAAAAGGGCACCAGUAUGGAGACCCUAGAAUAUAAAAAGCAGACUUAGCCUGUCUAACCUGUUCCUUGACUUGGCCAUGAUCCCAGGAAUGGAGGAAGGAUCUUCCUUUUCUUCCUCCUCCUGGAGAGGCAUCAGAGCAUGGGCCCUGGCUCUGUUACUCCCUGGCUGGGGAAGUUACUUACCUACUCCGUGUCUCAGUUUUACUUAUCUCUAAAAGGGGUAGAGUAACAGCACUCACUGGAGUGGAGUGUGGUUAUGCCUCCCAGCCUCUCCUUCAGAACUAGGUUACUUAUUCCCUCAGCUGCAAGGAGUGUUAGCUGCGGACUGCUCACAACGGAGUCUCUUCUAGGGAUUGCCCUCAACCGAAGGAAGCUGCAUUGCCCAAGAUGAGAUCCCCUCGCUGGGGCAUCCUGCAUCCAAUGACAAGUCAGUGGGGCGUACGAAGGCCUGGCUUCCUCAUCUCGAUUGGACAUCUCCAAAGGGCCAUCCCAGUUUCUGAUCUCCCCGUAGAAUCUCCUGAAGCCUCUGUUGUGACUGCAUCAGAGCCCAACCUCUCUCUCUACCCAAUCCAGUCUCCUUUCCUUCUCACAGGUGUUGUUCCCAAAACUCAGUAAACUGCCUACACGCAAA